rnacentral:rRNA from 1 species
AUUGAACGCUGGCGGCAGGCUUAACACAUGCAAGUCGAGCGGAGAGAGGUAGCUUGCUACUGAUCUUAGCGGCGGACGGGUGAGUAAUGCUUAGGAAUCUGCCUAUUAGUGGGGGACAACAUUUCGAAAGGAAUGCUAAUACCGCAUACGUCCUACGGGAGAAAGCAGGGGAUCUUCGGACCUUGCGCUAAUAGAUGAGCCUAAGUCGGAUUAGCUAGUUGGUGGGGUAAAGGCCUACCAAGGCGACGAUCUGUAGCGGGUCUGAGAGGAUGAUCCGCCACACUGGGACUGAGACACGGCCCAGACUCCUACGGGAGGCAGCAGUGGGGAAUAUUGGACAAUGGGCGCAAGCCUGAUCCAGCCAUGCCGCGUGUGUGAAGAAGGCCUUAUGGUUGUAAAGCACUUUAAGCGAGGAGGAGGCUACUUUAGUUAAUACCUAGAGAUAGUGGACGUUACUCGCAGAAUAAGCACCGGCUAACUCUGUGCCAGCAGCCGCGGUAAUACAGAGGGUGCAAGCGUUAAUCGGAUUUACUGGGCGUAAAGCGCGCGUAGGCGGCUAAUUAAGUCAAAUGUGAAAUCCCCGAGCUUAACUUGGGAAUUGCAUUCGAUACUGGUUAGCUAGAGUGUGGGAGAGGAUGGUAGAAUUCCAGGUGUAGCGGUGAAAUGCGUAGAGAUCUGGAGGAAUACCGAUGGCGAAGGCAGCCAUCUGGCCUAACACUGACGCUGAGGUGCGAAAGCAUGGGGAGCAAACAGGAUUAGAUACCCUGGUAGUCCAUGCCGUAAACGAUGUCUACUAGCCGUUGGGGCCUUUGAGGCUUUAGUGGCGCAGCUAACGCGAUAAGUAGACCGCCUGGGGAGUACGGUCGCAAGACUAAAACUCAAAUGAAUUGACGGGGGCCCGCACAAGCGGUGGAGCAUGUGGUUUAAUUCGAUGCAACGCGAAGAACCUUACCUGGCCUUGACAUAGUAAGAACUUUCCAGAGAUGGAUUGGUGCCUUCGGGAACUUACAUACAGGUGCUGCAUGGCUGUCGUCAGCUCGUGUCGUGAGGUGUUGGGUUAAGUCCCGCAACGAGCGCAACCCUUUUCCUUAUUUGCCAGCGAGUAAUGUCGGGAACUUUAAGGAUACUGCCAGUGACAAACUGGAGGAAGGCGGGGACGACGUCAAGUCAUCAUGGCCCUUACGGCCAGGGCUACACACGUGCUACAAUGGUCGGUACAAAGGGUUGCUACCUAGCGAUAGGAUGCUAAUCUCAAAAAGCCGAUCGUAGUCCGGAUUGGAGUCUGCAACUCGACUCCAUGAAGUCGAAAUCGCUAGUAAUCGCGGAUCAGAAUGCCGCGGUGAAUACGUUCCCGGGCCU